AGCUAAUACCGGAUAAUAUUUUGAACCGCAUGGUUCAAAAGUGAAAGACGGUCUUGCUGUCACUUAUAGAUGGAUACGCGCUGCAUUAGCUAGUUGGUAAGGUAACGGCUUACCAAGGCAACGAUGCAUAGCCGACCUGAGAGGGUGAUCGGCCACACUGGAACUGAGACACGGUCCAGACUCCUACGGGAGGCAGCAGUAGGGAAUCUUCCGCAAUGGGCGAAAGCCUGACGGAGCAACGCCGCGUGAGUGAUGAAGGUCUUCGGAUCGUAAAACUCUGUUAUUAGGGAAGAACAUAUGUGUAAGUAACUGUGCACAUCUUGACGGUACCUAAUCAGAAAGCCACGGCUAACUACGUGCCAGCAGCCGCGGUAAUACGUAGGUGGCAAGCGUUAUCCGGAAUUAUUGGGCGUAAAGCGCGCGUAGGCGGUUUUUUAAGUCUGAUGUGAAAGCCCACGGCUCAACCGUGGAGGGUCAUUGGAAACUGGAAAACUUGAGUGCAGAAGAGGAAAGUGGAAUUCCAUGUGUAGCGGUGAAAUGCGCAGAGAUAUGGAGGAACACCAGUGGCGAAGGCGACUUUCUGGUCUGUAACUGACGCUGAUGUGCGAAAGCGUGGGGAUCAAACAGGAUUAGAUACCCUGGUAGUCCACGCCGUAAACGAUGAGUGCUAAGUGUUAGGGGGUUUCCCGCCCCUUAGUGCUGCAGCUAACGCAUUAAGCACUCCGCCUGGGGAGUACGACCGCAAGGUUGAAACUCAAAGGAAUUGACGGGGACCCGCACAAGCGGUGGAGCAUGUGGUUUAAUUCGAAGCAACGCGAAGAACCUUACCAAAUCUUGACAUCCUUUGACAACUCUAGAGAUAGAGCCUUCCCCUUCGGGGGACAAAGUGACAGGUGGUGCAUGGUUGUCGUCAGCUCGUGUCGUGAGAUGUUGGGUUAAGUCCCGCAACGAGCGCAACCCUUAAGCUUAGUUGCCAUCAUUAAGUUGGGCACUCUAAGUUGACUGCCGGUGACAAACCGGAGGAAGGUGGGGAUGACGUCAAAUCAUCAUGCCCCUUAUGAUUUGGGCUACACACGUGCUACAAUGGACAAUACAAAGGGCAGCGAAACCGCGAGGUCAAGCAAAUCCCAUAAAGUUGUUCUCAGUUCGGAUUGUAGUCUGCAACUCGACUACAUGAAGCUGGAAUCGCUAGUAAUCGUAGAUCAGCAUGCUACGGUGAAUACGUUCCCGGGUCUUGUACACACCGCCCGUCACACCACGAGAGUUUGUAACACCCGAAGCCGGUGGAGUAACCUUUUAGGAGCUAGCCGUCGAAGGUGGGACAAAUGAUUGGGGUGAAGUCGUAACAAGGUAGCCGUAUCGGAAGGUGCGGCUGGAUCACCUCCUUUCUAAGGA
rnacentral:rRNA from 1 species